GGGCAUGUGGUGUAGUUGGUUAUCACGCUCGCUUAGCAUAUCGGAGCAUUGAUCGCUUGCGAGAGGGGUCCGGUUCAAUCCCGGACAUGUCCA